GUAGGUGGCAAGCGUUGUCCGGAAUUAUUGGGCGUAAAGCGCGCGCAGGCGGUCCUUUAAGUCUGAUGUGAAAGCCCACGGCUCAACCGUGGAGGGUCAUUGGAAACUGGGGGACUUGAGUACAGAAGAGGAAAGCGGAAUUCCAAGUGUAGCGGUGAAAUGCGUAGAGAUUUGGAGGAACACCAGUGGCGAAGGCGGCUUUCUGGUCUGUAACUGACGCUGAGGCGCGAAAGCGUGGGGAGCAAACAGAAUUAGAUACCCUGGUAGUCCACGCCGUAAACGAUGAGUGCUAAGUGUUAGGGGGUUUCCCGCCCCCUUAGUGCUGCAGCUAACGCAUUAAGCACUCCGCCUGGGGAGUACGGCCGCAAGGCUG
rnacentral:rRNA from 1 species